ensembl:lncRNA
GGGGCAUGUCACUUGGUUUUUCUCAUCUAGCAGAUGAAAUUUUUGUGGUCUGCAUACCUGAUGACCCCCAGAACCACACGGGGGCUUCUAAAAAAUAUCGAUCCCGGGGUCUGGCUCUUGGAGGUUCUGCGUGAUCCUAGCACAGGGUCCAGGAAAGCGCACGAUGAACAAGGCCCCCAGCUGAUUCUGCACAGGCAGUCCUUGCACCAGGGGCCUUCGAAGGUCUUGCCAACUCUAACUUGAAGCGGUUUUGUCAAUACCUGUGAUAGCUUGUCUUACCUAGACCACGAAGAGCUAAUGUAUACUUGAUGACCCACCUUCAGGCUGGGGCUACAACAGAUGGAGUGUUGUCAUCUGCCUUAGACUGAACAGAACUCCCCAAACCAGGAACCACAGAGCCCAAAACUUUCCCACCGAUUAACUGCACCAGCUGUGGUUCAGACACCCUCUCCCAUCCUCAUUAGGAACAGGUCUAUGCCACACGAGCCGCUUUAUAAACACCACCCCCCACCACCUGGGAAUCCCGCGAUCCCUGCAAUUUGUUCCACACACAGUGGGGUGUGCGUGUGUGUGAUGUGUUUAGGAGCAGACAAGGUUUGCGGCUUGUCCAGCUUCAGCCCAAUAGAACUCAGGUCUCCCCCUCCAGCUGAUGGGGAGCAGGACUUUAGCGUACACAUCGUGUUCCUUUGAUUUCGUAGUGUAAUCGUUAACCUGUGCAGUGUUUAUUACAGUGUGUUUCAGGCCCAUCUGUGUCAGAAUCACCUGCGGAGCUUGUAAAAACAUGCACAAUGCACUGACGGUCCUGUUCUGCGGUCAGAGGCCAGUGAAUGGAGGCUAGUUUGAAGCUUAGCUUUCUGAUCAUUUUAACUAGGGCUCCUUCCAAACCAGAUGAACAGCCCUCGCUGACUACGGAACUUAUUGCUGCUGAAACUUGUUCGGUUUGGUCGAUCUGCCGUAUUCCUCAAACUUCAUCGUGCUUGUGAAUCUCUUGGGGGUCUUGUUAAAAUGAAGCUUCUAACUCGUUGGGUCUGGGGUGGGGCCUGAGACUCUGCACCUCUGACAGGCUUCCGUGUGAUGCUGACCGUGCCGGUCCAGGGACCGUACUUUGAGUAGCUCUGUUGAACAGGUAGAUGUCUGCCUCUGACUAGGGGGCCCUCCCUCCCGGCUGAAGGUUCAUCAGUAGAGCUAAGACCUGCCCGAGGCUGAAUUCCUCUUUUGUGGGUGAAGGAAGCCUGAGACCCCUGGGAGGGAGGCUAGCUCUGUCCCCACCCACCUGCACCUGUGAUGGAGGAAGGCAGCCAAUUACGUCCCGAGCCGAAAGGCCUAUUGAUCUGGUGCAGUGGGGACAGUAUCUGAUUGACACAGCUGGGGGGAGCCUCGGGAGAGUGGAGACCUCCUUUGCUUAGUUUAUUUUGUAAUUAAGGGGAAAAGAGCCCAAGCUAAAACGUUGCUUGAGGGUCCCGGCUUUUACGUUCAUGUCACUGAGCAGCCUAUGAAUCAAGUCACCGGCCGUGAAGCUGUCAGUCCUGACAGUGGUUCUCUUUCUCGGUGGCUUUAUGCAGAUACUUUCAGUUCUCCGAGUAUUAAGCGUAAUGGGGACGCCAGGCCCAGUCUGUCCUUCGAGAUGCGCUCCGUUGGCUAUGCCCUUGUGUCCGAGGAUGGAAGGCCUCCUGCUUCAUCUCCUCAGCCUGGGAAGCGGAGGUGGCAUCAGUUAUUUCAGAGGCCUGUUGGAAGGGAAGGGACUUGCAAGUUCUUGUACAUGUGAAGACUGUCAGUGGAGGGAAAAACCUGUGCGCUUUGUUGCAGCAGACCCGAGCUUGAGGAGACUUUCCAGAUGAACUUGGCUGGGGACCCCAGGCCUAGCAAAGCCUCCUCGUCACCCAGGGCUCAGCGUGAAUGCCUUGCCUCAGGGUCCCCUCUCAGAUGGCUCCGGAGGAAGGAAUCCGGGCCACGGCCUGUGCUCACAUGGCCCCUGUACCAUUCCUCUCUGUGUAGUGUUGGUGUGACCUCAGCUUGCAGAGGGGUGGGCCUGGGUCCGUUGUGGUUCCCAGGAGCGCCCAGCGUCGGGUGGGUGCUUGGUACAUCGUGAGCCCUCAAUACAUACUCGAAGGGAUGUGCGUGCUACAGGCAGGCAAAUGCUUUUUAUGAAAUUUAACGGGCAUUGCUCCAAAGAUAAAGGAAGAGGAAACUUUAAAAAAUUAUUGAGUUGAUUCAUAAAGAACUUUCUGCUCUUACUAGCAGAACAAGCUAUCAAGGACAAAAUGACAAUCUUAUAUAUUUAUUUCAAUUCUCUUGAUGGAUAGGGUUCCAGACUUUGUAGACACAUUGUCCUCACAUCCACUAAGUUAAUCAUAUGCAUGUGACCAAGACUGCUAGAUAGUUCUCUAAUAACAUUCUCUCCUUAUCCCUUAGCAAUAGGAUGUCUAGUUUUUAGCUGGACAGUUGGCCACCUAGAAUUAAAAGGCUACAUUUCCCAGUCUCCCUUGCAGCUAGGCAUGGUCAUGUGAUAGAUGUAAAUGGAGCCAUGUGCCAUUUCCAGGAACCAUCAUAUUAUUAUCUUUCUACAUUUUGCUGAUGGAGCAUGGAUGUGAUGACUGGAGUUCAGCAGCCAUCUUGGGCAGUGAGGAGGGUAGAGCAGCAAGGUAGGGGGACCCCGAGUACUUUUCCGAAGCUGCCCUACCAGUCCUGUACUGCUCACCUCUGGACUUCAUUUGUGUGAGGUAAGCCACUGUUAUUUUGGAUUUGAUAUCUCAGCUGAACUGAAUCCUACCUAUUUUAGGAAUAGGAGAAUUGUAAUUCUUAGGACCUUUUUAAGGCCAGUCUUGGAGAACAUGCUGUGGUUCAAGUUAUAGGUGAAGGUGUGUUUGUGACAAGGUUUUGGAUAAAGUAAUUGAGUGUGAGAGUUAAGAGGAUGGACUUGGAAGUGGGCUGGCUCUUAGUUGCCAUGAGUCCUUGGACAAUCUCCUUAAGCUCUUUAAGCUUCCAUCCCUGUCUAUAAAAUGAGGAUGACAACGUAGUGCCUGAUUCCUGCUGUUCCUCUCCUUGCUGCUCUGAGUUAUCGAACCUCCACAUGGCUGAUUCUCUAAGGGCCUUAUGAUAUACUGGAGCCUUCUCUAAGUCAGCUUUCUGUCCAAAGCAAUUUCAGUAAAAUUUCUCUUUUCUUUUAGAAAUCAACGAAAUCAAAUAACCCUACAAAUAUACCUAGUUAAAACGUAUAAACUUGUUAGUUCCUUUAUGUGGUUUUAAAGUCCAAUUACGGAGCAUUUGCUUUACCAUCUUAACGGCGAUUCAUUUAGCCUUCUUAAUUGGGCACCCACCAAGGACCAGGCGUUUUGCUAAGUCCUGGGAACAAAAUAAUGGUCACACGUAAUUGUGCCGUUACAGAAUUGAUAGCAAUUGUGUGCAUGCCUUUCUGUUUACAAAGCAGUUUUAUGAUGUGCCAAUAGUAUGCUCUUAGGGGACGGGAGCUUGCAGAUUGUGGUGCUGAGAUUCUAUUGCUCGGUCUCAUUUACAUGAGCAGAGCUAAGCUGAUUCAGAGUUAGCAGGGGCAUCAGGUGUGUAAUCCAGACAUUGACUGCUUCCUCCUCGGAGCUCUGGCGAAGCUUGAUCUGGACUCUUACUAUCUGCCCUAGAGUUCUAAAACCUGGACCUUCCUUUCUCCUGGCUUUCCUGUUUCCAUUUUCCAAGAGCGCCUCUUUGGUUUACAUGUGAGUUUGUUUAGUCUUUCCAGUUCAAUUGUAAGGAAUUUGAAAGCAGGAACUUGGAUGACUUCAAGGAUUUGCUCACAGUUCUCAGGCCAGUGUGGUACCUGCAGGCUCUCCAGAGCCGGAUGGCCCGUGGGGGCAGCGAGCGUCUCAGAGCUCGUGACUUCCCUCCCUGCCACGGAGACUGACACCUGCAGGUCUUUCAAGCAAGGGGAGGGACAGCUUUGCUAACCUAGAAGACCAGUAGACGCAUCUCUUCGUGGUGUGGGAGCCUAGGAACCUUGGCUGCAUAUGAAGAGGGGACUUCAGUGACACAGAAGAGUGACAAUUUGCUCCAAGGGACUUUCUGGGUCGGCCUUUGGAGUGGCAGUGAGGAAUGGAAGCGUAGAGGUCAUGUAUAUUUGUGUCUUUAUCUGGUUUGGCCUGCAAAGAGCUUUUUGUAAAAUUUCAAACAAGUUGCCAACAUUUAAAUCAGGAAAUUCCACAAGGAAAUCGAUUGCAGCCUCUCUAGCAAAAAUCUCUAUAUCUGAGAACGCCAGGCUGACAUUCCCACAUCCGCCAUCGUCUGAAGCUGUUAGCAGCUUCCCCCAGCCAGAGAGCGUGAGAUUUGCUCUUCCACAGCCCCCACGUGCCCAUUGCUUCCCUUCACCUGCCUGGUCCAUGUGGGCAGGGUUGAUAGACGCUGACGGGGGUCUGCUCUGAACCCAUUGGCACCCAGGUAGUACCAGUUAUGAAAUAUUUUGAAUAUCCUUCCUGCCUGGAGCCAUCUGAGUUGCUAACCCUGCUCUGCAGAGAAGCAGCUGUCAGCUUCUUGCUAAAAAAAAAUUUAAAUUCUGACUCCAGGGUCACUCUGUUACACUGAUUAAUCUGUUAAAUUGUCAGUAUUCUCCACCAUUUCAUUUAUUGGGAGCAGAGCUUCUAGAGGAGUCUAAGAGGCAUUCAGAACGUCUAGCUGUGUGCUGAUGGAGUGGGUGCCCUAGGAAGCCAAUUUGCAUGAGGGCUGAGGCCCUCCCUGGGGGACAAUUCAUCCUGAUGAAAUGAGGAGCCAGGUAUGGAGAACUCACCCUGUUAGAGAAAGCUCAGUUGUCAGAUAACGGCGUGAAGUCUGAUGUCUUGAUUUCUCUCUGCAUCCGGCCCACACUGGCUCCUCUCUGUGUGUUUGGAGAGCAGAGCAAGAAGUCAAAAGGGAACAGUGUUUCUCUGCACACUGUCGGGUAUCCCUCUAACAGAAUCAAACAUAAAGGGGAUAAAGAGACAUUCUCCCAUCGCUUCCCCACUGGCACUUGUGACACUCUGAACAACCCCUGUACUUUAUUGGCAGGGCCUGGCAGACACUUCGGUGCUCUGUGGGAGAAGACAUGUGGGCCCCUGCUGGUGGUCUGGGGUCCUAACUAAUCACCCUCAAACCUUUCCAGGUCCUUAACCUGCUGUGAGCAGACAUAAGGAGCCAAAUGGAUUCAAAUUCAGAAAUGGAGAGUAUGGCAGGGUGGUUAUAUUGUCUGUAAUUUUCUUAAAAUAUUUCAGCAUAGAUAGUGAUGUAUGUAUGUUAGAUUCAAUAUAUACCCUAGGAGCUGUUGGUUAAAAUUUCAAUUAUUCUUAGUCUGGCUACUUAUUGCUGCAUAACCCACCCCAAAAUUUAGUGGGUUAGAAAAGAGUAUAUCAUUAUUUCUCAUGCUUCUGUGGUUUCUCAUGGCUCCGCUGGGCAGUUCUCACUUGGUUGCAGCCUGAUGGCAGCUGGAGCCGGAGGCAUCUGGAGCAUCAUCUGGGCUGGAUGUCCGAGAUGGCUUCUUAUGUGGCUGGCACAUGGGCUGGGACGGCUGGAACGGCUGGGACUAGCUGGGCAUCUCUUUCUCCAUGUGGCCUCUCCACGUGGCUAGCUUGGGCUUCCUCAAGGAAUGGCGAUCUCAAGGUAGCUAGACUUCCAAGAGAGCAUUCCAAGAGACCCAUGGCAAAGCUGCAAGGGUUCUUACCACCUAGCCUUGGAAGUCAUGCUCCAUCACUUCUCCUGUCACCAAUUGCUGGCUGUGAUGGUUAAUCUUAUGUGUCAACUUGGCUAGGUCACAGUACCCAGAUAUUUGGUUAAAUAUUAUUCUGGAUGUUUCUGUGAAGGUAUUUUUUGGAUGAUUUUAACAUUUAAAUCAG